GACGAACGCUGGCGGCGUGCUUAACACAUGCAAGUCGAACGGAAAGGCCCUGCUUUUGUGGGGUGCUCGAUUGGCGAACGGGUGAGUAACACGUGAGUAACCUGCCCUUGACUUUGGGAUAACUUCAGGAAACUGGGGCUAAUACCGGAUAGGAGCUCCUGCUGCAUGGUGGGGGUUGGAAAGUUUCGGCGGUUGGGGAUGGACUCGCGGCUUAUCAGCUUGUUGGUGGGGUAGUGGCUUACCAAGGCUUUGACGGGUAGCCGGCCUGAGAGGGUGACCGGGCACAUUGGGACUGGGAUACGGCCCAGACUCCUACGGGAGGCAGCAGUGGGGAAUAUUGCACAAUGGGCGGAAGCCUGAUGCAGCAACGCCGCGUGCGGGAUGACGGCCUUCGGGUUGUAAACCGCUUUCGCCUGUGACGAAGCGUGAGUGACGGUAAUGGGUAAAGAAGCACCGGCUAACUACGUG
rnacentral:rRNA from 1 species